GGUUCGGCGGGCCACGAACUCCCCUAAAGAACCUGAGGUAAAGAACCCCCCACCCACCCUCCCUUCCCGCAUGUCACCCGUACGAGUGACCGGCUUGCGGGUGUGGGAUGCAGCCGGUUACGUUCGCCGCAACAACCCCAGACAGACGACGGCCCCCGGCCGGGACUGGCAUCCCGAACGAGGGCCUGACCGAUCAGGAAGCAGAGACCUUCCCG
rnacentral:ncRNA from 1 species